AUACGGAGGGUGCGAGCGUUAAUCGGAAUUACUGGGCGUAAAGCGCGCGUAGGCGGCUAUAUAAGUCAGAUGUGAAAUCCCUGGGCUCAACCUAGGAACUGCAUUUGAAACUGUAUGGCUAGAGUAUGGUAGAGGUGAGUGGAAUUUCAGGUGUAGCGGUGAAAUGCGUAGAGAUCUGAAGGAACAUCAGUGGCGAAGGCGACUCACUGGGCCAUUACUGACGCUGAGGUGCGAAAGCGUGGGUAGCAAACAGGAUUAGAUACCCUAGUAGUCC
rnacentral:rRNA from 1 species